UACAGAGGUGGCAAGCGUUGUUCGGAAUUACUGGGCGUAAAGGGCGCGUAGGCGGUCUGAUAAGUUAGAUGUGAAAUUCCCGGGCUUAACCUGGGCGCUGCAUUUAAUACUGUUUGGGCUUGAAUUCAGGAGAGGAUAGCGGGAUUCCCAGUGUAGAGGUGAAAUUCGUAGAUAUUGGGAAGAACACCGGUGGCGAAGGCGGCUAUCUGGACUGACAUUGACGCUGAGGCGCGAAAGCGUGGGGAGCAAACAGG
rnacentral:rRNA from 1 species